rnacentral:rRNA from 1 species
GACGAACGCUGGCGGCGUGCUUAACACAUGCAAGUCGUACGAAGAGCGAUGGAAGCUUGCUUCUAUCAAUCUUAGUGGCGAACGGGUGAGUAACGCGUAAUCAACCUGCCCUUCAGAGGGGGACAACAGUUGGAAACGACUGCUAAUACCGCAUACGAUCUAAUCUCGGCAUCGAGGAUAGAUGAAAGGUGGCCUCUACAUGUAAGCUAUCACUGAAGGAGGGGAUUGCGUCUGAUUAGCUAGUUGGAGGGGUAACGGCCCACCAAGGCGAUGAUCAGUAGCCGGUCUGAGAGGAUGAACGGCCACAUUGGGACUGAGACACGGCCCAGACUCCUACGGGAGGCAGCAGUGGGGAAUCUUCCGCAAUGGACGAAAGUCUGACGGAGCAACGCCGCGUGAGUGAUGACGGCCUUCGGGUUGUAAAGCUCUGUUAAUCGGGACGAAAGGCCUUCUUGCGAAUAGUGAGAAGGAUUGACGGUACCGGAAUAGAAAGCCACGGCUAACUACGUG